rnacentral:rRNA from 1 species
UACAGAGGUCUCAAGCGUUGUUCGGAUUCAUUGGGCGUAAAGGGUGCGUAGGCGGCGCGGUAAGUCGGGUGUGAAAUCUCGGAGCUUAACUCCGAAACUGCAUUCGAUACUGCCGUGCUUGAGGACUGGAGAGGAGACUGGAAUUUACGGUGUAGCGGUGAAAUGCGUAGAUAUCGGGAAGAACACCCGUGGCGAAGGCGGUUCUCUGGGACGGUACUGACGGCUGAGACGCGAAAGCGUGGGGAGCGAACAGG